UUACUCGCAAUUUUCGAUAAAAAAGUGUUCAUCCCAAUAAAAAAUUUAAAGCCCUUAACCUAUUAUUUGUAAAUCUAAAACUGAAUAUGUAUUUGUAAUUGAAAAGCGAAAUCGGAACACCAGGGCAAUUUCAGAACGAUUAUCUCAGAUUCCUCGCGCCUACAGUAGGGGAUUUGUGUGCACGAAGAUGAGUUUUUUUCGUCUUUUUUUUUUUUUUGUGUGCAGGUCACACUCUAUACCUACAAUUGAUUUACCGGGUUGGUGUUCUUCAUUGUGUAUUACAAAAAUUUGUAUCUUGAUUUUCUUCCUCUGUAAAUGUCCUAAUUUUAAAUUGUGCUUCUUGAUAAUUGAUUUAAGGAGAACUUCAUGAAGGGAGGUAUCUAGUUAAAAGGUUGUCUGAGUUCUGAUGGUCGAUUUAACAGAGUAGUACUCUAAAAAUUGCAUAGAUAGAAGAGAGUAAUAACGUAUAUCAGAAAGAUAAAAAACCCAACAGGGUCGAUGAUAAUCCAGGUAUUCUGUCUUUUGUGCAUGUCACAAGGGUAAGCCUCCAAUUGAUUUUUUCGUAUGAGUUAUUGAUUUAUGUAUAAUGUAUUAUCAAACAAGAAGUCUUCUACCUCUCUAUCUUCUAUAAUUGUCCCAAUUUUCUGCAAUGUGUUUCUUGAUUAUUUUUAAUUAUUUGAAUGUGGAUAAAUUCGUCAAGGGAGGAGGAAGAUAGAUUGUCUAUUGCUAUAUAUGAAUGGCUUAAUAAAGAACUCCAAGUAUUGCAAACUUGAAGACAUUAACAAGUUAUAUAAGAAAUCCGAACAAAACCUUCAAUGAAGGCAAUUGAGGUUGUUUUGGAUGACGAGAUUCAUUGUUGAUACCGCCUAAAAUAUGCCAAGAGCUAAAUUUAUGCCACUAGACUUCAUUCAAGACAUUUUCUCCUCUUUUUUUUUUUUUUUUUUUUUUGCUAGAAAACUGACUUCUAAAUAUUAUAAUUCUGUAUUUGAAGGCAUGGUUUGAUUAUUCAGAGAUUUAUUGUAGUAGAUUGUUUGUUGACGUUAGAGAAUAUCUAUACAGUUGAAAUUUUGAUGAAGGAAAGUUGAGAAUGUUUAUUUUAUUUGAAUUCUUAUUUAUAUUUUUA